UGGGCAACCUGCCCCUAGCUCUGGGAUAACUGCGGGAAACUGUAGCUAAUACCGGAUGUGACACGAGACUGCAUGGUCUUCGUGUAGAAAGAUUUAUCGGCUAGGGAUGGGCCCGCGGUCUAUCAGCUUGUUGGUGGGGUAAUGGCUCACCAAGGCGACGACGGAUAACCGGCCUGAGAGGGCGACCGGUCACACUGGGACUGAGACACGGCCCAGACUCCUACGGGAGGNA
rnacentral:rRNA from 1 species